rnacentral:rRNA from 1 species
AGAGUUUGAUCAUGGCUCAGAAUCAACGCUGGCGGCGCGCUUAACACAUGCAAGUCGAACGAGAAAGGGGAGCAAUCCCUGAGUAAAGUGGCGUACGGGUGAGUAACACGUGGGUAAUCUACCUUUUGGUGGGGGAUAACGCUGGGAAACCGGCGCUAAUACCGCAUAAGCUCGAGAGAGGAAAGGAGCAAUUCGCCGAAAGAGGAGCCCGCGGCUGAUUAGCUAGUUGGUGAGGUAAGAGCUCACCAAGGCGAAGAUCGGUAGCCGGCCUGAGAGGGCACACGGCCACACUGGCACUGAAACACGGGCCAGACUCCUACGGGAGGCAGCAGUGGGGAAUCUUGCACAAUGGGGGAAACCCUGAUGCAGCGACGCCGCGUGAGCGAUGAAGCCCUUCGGGGUGUAAAGCUCUUUCGGCAGGGACGAUAAUGACGGUACCUGAAGAAGAAGCUGCGGCUAACUACGUGCCAGCAGCCGCGGUAAUACGUAGGCAGCGAGCGUUGUUCGGAGUUACUGGGCGUAAAGAGUGCGUAGGCGGUUUUCUAAGUUUGGUGUGAAAUCUCCCGGCUUAACUGGGAGGGUGCGCCGAAGACUGGAAGGCUAGAGUAUGGGAGAGGUAAGCGGAAUUCCUGGUGUAGCGGUGAAAUGCGUAGAUAUCAGGAGGAACCCUGCGGUGUAGACGGCUUACUGGACCAUAACUGACGCUGAGGCACGAAAGCGUGGGUAGCAAACAGGAUUAGAUACCCUAGUAGUCC